GCAAAGACAGAGCUGGCUCAGUGGCCUAAAUAUGAAAUCAUCAAUGAUGCUGGACCAAAGGGAGUCCAGGUAUCACCGAGAUGCCAAACAGAAGGGUACCUCCACAUUCAUGGUGGAGCACAUCAUCGACUCUUCACCAGCUACCUGCAUGUUAAGGAAGAUAUUAUCUGGAGUGCUCUACAUAUGGCAAACACCAAUGUGUGCUGAUUAUCGAGAUCAGCUGGACAAGCAGUGAGAACCCUGCUCAUUAGGCCACAAGAGUAAUCCCGAGGGGGAUUCCAGCAGAGUUAUGAUGUCACUCUUCAUCACUCACCAGGCUAAGAAACAAUCCAAAAAUAAGAAAAACGAACAAAUGAACGAAAGUCCUAAAUUGGGUACUGCCAAGAGCUCAGCUGAAUGAAUCCUUGCUGGCGACAGAUAUAUCCUUAGGAAUGGUCUCUUGCAGAUAAUUGCUGAGAAGGCUUACGGUUUACUGACCUGCUGGGGUGCACGGAGAAUUAUUGACUCAGACCUAAUUAAAUUGUUGCCUGCUGCUUUUUUGAAAUUCUGCCAGGGAAUCCUUGCUGUCCUUAGCAGAGUCUUUCAGUUGGAGGCUGUGGCUGAACUGUACCAAGGGCGUUUUAUGGUAAGUACUUGC
rnacentral:lncRNA from 1 species